rnacentral:rRNA from 1 species
CCUACGGGCGGCUGCAGUGGGGAAUAUUGGACAAUGGGGGGAACCCUGGUCCAGCCAUGCCGCGUGUGUGAAGAAGGCCCUCGGGUUGUAAAGCACUUUCAGUGAGGAAGAACGCCUGGUGGUUAAUACCCAUCAGGAAAGACAUCACUCACAGAAGAAGCACCGGCUAACUCCGUGCCAGCAGCCGCGGUAAUACGGAGGGUGCGAGCGUUAAUCGGAAUUACUGGGCGUAAAGCGCGCGUAGGUGGCUUGAUAAGCCGGUUGUGAAAGCCCCGGGCUCAACCUGGGAACGGCAUCCGGAACUGUCAAGCUAGAGUGCAGGAGAGGAAGGUAGAAUUCCCGGUGUAGCGGUGAAAUGCGUAGAGAUCGGGAGGAAUACCAGUGGCGAAGGCGGCCUUCUGGACUGACACUGACACUGAGGUGCGAAAGCGUGGGUAGCAAACAGGAUUAGAUACCCUUGUAGUC